GACGUAGGGCGCGAGCGUUGUCCGGAAUUAUUGGGCGUAAAGAGCUCGUAGGCGGUGUGUCACGUCGGCCGUGAAAACCUGCAGCUUAACUGUGGGCGUGCGGUCGAUACGGGCAUCACUGGAGUUCGGCAGGGGAGACUGGAAUUCCUGGUGUAGCGGUGAAAUGCGUAGAUAUCAUCUGGAACGCCAAUGGUGAAGACAGCUCGCUGGGGGUGUACUGACACUGAGACACGAAAGCCAGGGGAGCAAACGGG
rnacentral:rRNA from 1 species